GCUCCUCUAGCUCAGUUGGUAGAGCAGCUGACUCUUAAUCAGCGGGUCGUAGGUUCGAGUCCUACGGGGAGCA
rnacentral:tRNA from 2 species